AAAUUUUUUCAUUAUUUCAAUACUUUCUUUACAGACGAUAGCAUUUUAAAGUUAUGUUCUCAUAAUACAUGUUUAUUUUAAGUGUUCUUUUUUCUGCAAUUGCUUCUCUUCUGUGGCUAAUCUCUUUCAUUCCAUGUUUCAUGGCUAGAGUUAGACCUUUCAAGCAAAGGAAGUUCUAGUUCUUGGCUGAAGAAGAUCUAGGCUGUCACAUCUUCAAGAAUAUAUUUUCUUAUGGUUCUGGUAUAAUUUCCAAAGAACUUUGGAUAGGAUGGCAUACAUUCUUUAAAAUAUAAUGAAGAAUAAGUUAUGGUGGCAUAAAUUAUGAAUACAACUAAGUUCAUUCAUAUUAGAAUGUGUUUUUCUCUGUUAACUAUUUUUUGUAUGUGUUACCUCUGUGGUCAUAAGUUUACAGUGUUAUUUUGGAAUGUUCUUCUCCAGUUUAACUGCCAGCAAGAAAAAAUUACUUUGGUACUUUAAUAAUAAUUUGUCAAUAUUAUGUGCUAUAUCUCUCAACAGUUCAAACUUUCUUCGAGCGCUAUUUCCAAGAUGGCAAGACAUGGUGAGGUGCAGCAUGUCGCAUCUGGGCCCUGUCAGAACCAGACAGAGGCUUCGCAGGCUCUCCUUUUUGCAUGCUGCUCUGCAGGAAGCACCAAGUGAACGUGGAAAGCAGAGGAAAGGGCUGGUGGCUGCUAUAGGUGUACUGAGUCAGUGUAGUAUAAAUGCUAACAUCUCUACCUGUCUCUUGUCAUUCCUUGUCCCAGGGGUAGAGUAGACUCAGGAAGGGAAGUACGGCUGAAAUACUUUUCUUCCAUCCCCCCAGCUUGAAUGCCUGCGCUUCAUACCUCAUAUUUCUAACUGUUUUUUUGGUGUCCAAAAUGAAGGCCAUUAGAGCGUACCUAAAUAAAGCUUGUUUUACUCUU